GUGUGCGCAGCUGUGCAGAAUGAAUCACAGACAUCAGAGAUGGAGCACCUGUUACUGUGGGUCAUCGGCUUGGCGUGCGUCCGGUCUAGUUUCCAUUUACAGGACAGUUCUGUGCCCUUCCUCAGGAGGUCCCAUUCUUUCGGUAAAUUCUGAGUGUCAGCUGUUUACCGGGAAUUUGCUAAGGCUAAGAGGCAGAGAGGCAAGCCAUUCCCCUGCCCUCAAGAAACUCCCAGUCUACAGGCGAAGAGACGCCUCCCACCAGUGCAGUAGCUGGACCAGAAUAUUAGGUCUUCCAGUCAGUCACCCAGAUUUGCCUAAAGACCUGACACAAAUGUCACUUCCACUAUGAAGUCCCACUGACUUUUAUAUAUAAGUCACAAGUGAUGAUUCCCCAUCUGGAUUGGUAAAGAACUCACAGCAAGAAAAAUUGCUGAAGUGUGAAAAACUCAGGACAGCAUUCUUUUGCUGACCACGUACCCAGCAGCCCACUGAAGGGCUUGCACCUGUGCGCCUGGGGAAGGUGGGGAGAAUAUUUCUUCUUUUACACCUCCAAGGUCUAUAUCUUUAUUACUUUGAUAGUUCCCGCCUUAGUUUAGUUCACCAUCACCUCCUGUCUGGAUUAUUAAGAAGUAUUCCUUAAUAUGCAUCCAAUAUACCCUCCGCACUGACAUUUGAGCUCUCAUUCUCUAAUGUAAGCCUUCAUUGACUAGCCAGUGUCUUUAGAGUCAAGUCAAAAUUCCUACAUGCAGAAGAGCCCUAACAAACAGGGCCCAAGUGUCCCUUCCAAUCUCACCUUCCAGCACUGUCACAUUGUAUGCACAAGGCACAGUGUAUUUGCUCCUCUUGGAAGAAAAUCCCUCCCACUUCUGUGACUCUUUACCAGCUCCCCCAUCUCUUCCAGCCAGAAAAAAGUGCCCAUUCCCUUUCCUCUACCGGGAAAAUCAUACUCAACUUUCAGUUCCUAGUUCAAAUUUCAGUUGCUGUGUCCAAUAUAUUAGAGGCAGAACAGCAAAAUGGGAAAGAGUAAGGAUUCUGGACACUUGUGCUCUUCCAUUGAUCAUGUUUGUAAGAUUGAGUGACUUGUUUAACUUUCCUAAGUUUCUGUUUCCUUAUAUGUAAAUUGGUGAUUUAAUAGUAACUAUUACAUCAGGUUGUUGGGAGGGUUAAAUGUGAUAAUUUUUCUAAAGCACUUAGGUCUGUGCCUGGCAGUUUACAAGUACUUACUAUGUAAACAUUAGCUAUUAUUCUAGUUUUGCUGACAUUUUCUUCAACCCUAUAUUUUAGCUUAACUGACUUUAAGAAAGUUAAUUAAAUUAAUUAAUUAAUUUUUGAGACAGGGUCUUGAUAUAUUGCCCAGGCUGGGGUGCAGUGACUGUUCAUAGGCACCAUCUCACUACUGAUCAGCACGGGAGUUUUGACAGAAGUUUCCAACCUGGGGCAGUUCACUAGUCCUCAGGCAACCUGAUGGUCCCCUGCUCACAAGGGGUCACCAUAUUGAUGCCGGACUUAGUGCAGACGCCCAGUGGAGCUUCAGGCACUACAGCCUAGAACUCCUGGGCUUAAGCAAUCCUCCCUUCAGUCAAGUAACUGGCACUACCAGCAUGUGCCACCACACUCAGUUAAAAUGGCUUUUAUACCUAGAAUUAUAUUAGCUUGGGUGAAUUGAAUAACCAAGGUAACAGCAUUACCAACUCUAGUUCAUUUAUUCCUUAAUAUUUACCACAGCUGUAUGUCAUGGAGUGUGGCUGAACAAGUUAUAUUGAACUGUCAUGUGGCAGUGACCCUUGUAAGUAUAACUCUAUCAAGAACUAUUAAUCCGGGCUCAAGCUUUUUUAUUUUGGGAAUUCUGAGAGUCUUGCCAGGUAUUUCUAGUGCUCUGCUUUAAUAAUAAGCAACAUGAACAUCACCAAAUACUUUAAAGGCUCUAUCUGUUCCGUGAAAGGGCACAGCAACUCCUAAAUGCCAAAGAUGAUGAAAAGCCAAAGAAGGAAGUGGACUUUUUUUUUUGAGU